CCUACGGGAGGCAGCAGUGGGGAAUUUUGCGCAAUGGGCGAAAGCCUGACGCAGCAACGCCGCGUGAGGGAUGAAUGCCUUCGGGUUGUAAACCUCUUUCAGCAGGGAUGAAACUGACAGUACCUGCAGAAGAAGCCCCGGCUAACUACGUGCCAGCAGCCGCGGUAAU
rnacentral:rRNA from 1 species